UGUAGGGUUGCUGCAUUUUGCUGGGGGUUCACUUCAGGCCUGUUCAACUGGUUCACUCCCUCGCCUGGAGAUGUCACUCAAGGUGGCUGGAGAACAGCAAAGAUGAGUGCCUGCUCCUUCCUGUGGGAUCUCUGACCUCAAGAGACACCAACCUGACACCAGUAGGAUCACUCCUGUAUAGGGUGUCUGACAACCCCUGCUGGAGGGUCUCACCCAGUUGCGUGGCACAGGGAACAGGACCCAUUUAACGAAGCACUCUGACAGUCCCUUAGUGGAGGGAUGUGCUUCGCUGAGAGGAAACCCACUCAUCUGGACUGCCUCGUUUCCUCAGAACUACCAGGAGGAAAG
rnacentral:lncRNA from 10 species